rnacentral:tRNA from 1 species
GGCCCCUUAGCUCAGUGGUUAGAGCAGACGACUCAUAAUCGCUUGGUCGUUGGUUCAAACCCAACAGGGGCCACCA